rnacentral:rRNA from 1 species
GAUGAACGCUGGCGGCGUGCCUAAUACAUGUAAGUCGAGCGAACAGAUGAGGAGCUUGCUCCUCUGACGUUAGCGGCGGACGGGUGAGUAACACGUGGAUAACCUACCUAUAAGACUGGGAUAACUUCGGGAAACCGGAGCUAAUACCGGAUAAUAUAUUGAACCGCAUGGUUCAAUAGUGAAAGACGGUUUUGCUGUCACUUAUAGAUGGAUCCGCGCCGCAUUAGCUAGUUGGUAAGGUAACGGCUUACCAAGGCAACGAUGCGUAGCCGACCUGAGAGGGUGAUCGGCCACACUGGAACUGAGACACGGUCCAGACUCCUACGGGAGGCAGCAGUAGGGAAUCUUCCGCAAUGGGCGAAAGCCUGACGGAGCAACGCCGCGUGAGUGAUGAAGGUCUUCGGAUCGUAAAACUCUGUUAUUAGGGAAGAACAAAUGUGUAAGUAACUAUGCACGUCUUGACGGUACCUAAUCAGAAAGCCACGGCUAACUACGU